GUUUUAGCUAUUACAAACUGUGCCGCUAUAAACAUAGCUGUACAUGUAUCACUGUGAUAUGAUUCUUUUAAUUCUUUUGGAAAGAUACCCAGCAGAGGGAUGGCUGGGUCAAAUGGAACCUCUAGUCCCAGGUCUUCGAGGUAUCUCCAUAUUGAUUUCCAUAGUGGCUGCACCAUAUGAGAGAAUUUUUUGUGGUGAUAGGUUUUUGAAGGAUCUGGAUUCCAGGGUUUGCAGACAUAGCCAGACCUCUAUAUGAAGCUUUGAAGGGCCCAGAAGGACAGUAGUUAUUACAGGGUAAAGAGCAAAGGUCAACAUUUAAACAGCUAAAACUAACUCUGCUGCCCCUUGUAUCAGGGAUCCUAAAUUGACUCAGUCUUUUACUUUGUACAUGACUGAAAGAAAGCAUACUGCUUUAGGGGUGCUCACUCAUGGAGUAGGCCCAUGGAGUCAGCCAGUAGCAUAUUUAUCUUACGAGUUUCGAUCCAGCUAUGAAGGGAUUGCCCCCUUAUUUAUGAGCCCUGACAGCUGUAGUUAUGCUAAUUAAGGAAGCUAACAAGCUAACAUUAGGAAAAAAUGGAUUGUUCAGUUUCCCCAUACCUUUUAGAACUGUUGAAUAACAGAGGACAUCGAUGGCUCUCAAAUAAUAGAGUCACAUAAUAUCAGAUGCUCAUCUGUGAGAAUCCCUGCCUAUAUUUUGCUCCAGCUGAAACCUUAAACCCUGCUGCUUUUUGCCCUCAGAAUCUGGCCCCUGGACCACGACUGCCUACGGGUCACCAACGAGUUGUUCUCAAGUCAUCCAGAUCUGCAGAAAGACACGCUGCCUGAUGCUGAUUUCGUCCUGUUCAAGGAUGGGAAAUGGGGCUUACAGGUCACCCAACAGGAGAUACAGAACAAACUUGGCAGUACACAGGCAACAGACCCAUUGGCAGGAUCGAUACACUCCUGUCAGCCUGGGGACCUGGUGCACAUCGAAAGACAUACUCGCAAGGCCCUGGCACUGCUGUACAAAAGACCCUUUCCAGUGGUACUGUUCACUCCAACCGCAGUCAAAGUACCUGAAAUAGCUGCCUAGAUACAUCAUACUCACCUCAAAAGGGCCCCGCCAGAGGAAGAGUCAACUAAAUACAAAGGGAAGAUCAUCAGCCAAUGAAGAGACAAAAAGAUAAGGCUAAAACAAAUAAAACCCUGAUAUGACUAUCUGGGGCCUGGACAAAUAGAGUUUAUAAAAAUAUUGAUCCUUUCAUAUGGGUGUUUAUUAUAGUCAUGUUUGGGCCACUAUUCUCUGAAACAACAACAGAGCUACCACAGACCCAAUUAGAUGAUCCUGACAAUAUAUGGGUUCAAUUGGCAUAAUCACUUAAUAUGUCUAAAUUCUGUUUAACUGUAGAUUUAAAAUUACACUAUAUAUUAAAAAGUUAUCUUGUACCUGUGUGCACUCCUUUGACCUUGCUAUAGCCCUAUACUUUGUUUUAAAGAUAUCCCUGGAAGGGAUCACACUUAUGAAGAUAAUUGCUAUUGGAAAACCCCCUCCUAUCAAAAGCC
rnacentral:lncRNA from 1 species